GUUUAAAACAUAUUAUAAAAUGCUUUUUUUUUGGAAAGUGCGGAUAGUGAUAUAUAUUUUACUUUCUAGAGAAAUUGUUGGUCAACAUGUGUAUCUGGAGAAAAAGAUAAAUAUUACAAACACCUAUGAAGCCCACGGUGAAGAUGCUGCAAAAUUAAAAAAACCUUUUGACAGAGGCCCAUACUUUGAUACAUCUGCAACAAAAAAUGUAACAUCGCUAGUUGGGAAAACCGGACACCUGAACUGUCGCAUAAAAAAUUUGGGCAACAAAACGGUAUCGUGGAUACGUCAUAGAGAUUUACAUCUUUUAACGGUAUCGGAAAGUACAUACACAUCAGAUCAGCGUUUCACAUCCAUUUACAACAAACAAACUGGCGACUGGUCACUGCAAGUAUGUACAAAAUCUAUCCUAAUAAAAACGCAAUAUGCUUUUAAGCAGUAUCAAAUAAAAUAUU